rnacentral:tRNA from 1 species
CUGUAGCUCAGUUGGAUAGAGCAACGGCCUUCUAAGCCGUGGGUCUAGGGUUCGAAUCCCU